UACAUGGGGUGCAAACGUUGCUCGGAAUUAUUGGGCGUAAAGCGCGCGUAGGCGGUUACUUAAGUCGGAUGUGAAAGCCCUCGGCUUAACUGAGGAAGUGCACCCGAAACUGAGUAGCUAGAGUACGAAAGAGGGUCGCGGAAUUCCCGGUGUAGAGGUGAAAUGCGCAGAUAUCAGGAGGAACACCGGUGGCGAAGGCGGAUCUCUGGGCCUUACCUGACGCUGAGGCGCGAAAGCUAGGGGAGCGAACAGG
rnacentral:rRNA from 1 species